AAUCAACGCUGGCGGCGUGCCUCAGACAUGCAAGUCGAACGAUUAAAGCUCUCUUCGGAGAGUGCAUAGAGUGGCGCACGGGUGAGUAACACGUAAGUAAUCUACCCUCGAGUGGGGAAUAACGUCCGGAAACGGACGCUAAUACCGCAUAAUGCAGCGGCACCGCAAGGUGACAGUUGUUAAAGGAGAAAUUCGCUUGAGGAGGAGCUUGCGGCAGAUUAGCUUGUUGGUAAGGUAACGGCUUACCAAGGCUACGAUCUGUAACCGGUCUUAGAGGACGGUCGGUCACACUGACACUGAAUAACGGGUCAGACUCCUACGGGAGGCAGCAGUCGGGAAUUUUGGGCAAGUGGGCGAAAGCCUGACCCAGCAACGCCGCGUGAAGGAUGAAGUAUUUCGGUAUGUAAACUUCGAAAGAAUAGGAAGAAUAAAUGACGGUACUAUUUAUAAGGUCCGGCUAACUACGUGCCAGCAGCCG
rnacentral:rRNA from 1 species